rnacentral:rRNA from 1 species
CCGUAACCCAUCAGAGGGGGAUAACAACUUGGAAACAGGUGCUAAUACCGCAUAACAGCUUAUGCCGCAUGGCAUAAGAGUGAAAGGCGCUUUCGGGUAUCGCUGAUGGAUGGACCCGCGGUGCAUUAGCUAGUUGGUGAGGUAACGGCUCACCAAGGCCACGAUGCAUAGCCGACCUGAGAGGGUGAUCGGCCACACUGGGACUGAGACACGGCCCAG